CUGACAGCCUAGCAUCACCUGGGAAAGACAGACCUCGUAAACAGACGGACUGAAACACAAUACGUGAAUUGAAAAGAUAAAGGCGAGCCUGGGUUCUCUGCAUGGCCGGGAAGGCUGUCCGCCACGGUUGCGGGGGUGGGCGGAGGCGGCGUGCUGAGCAGGGUUUCUUGGAAGCUGUAACAGGCCGCUGGGUCUUGGAGGCCAAGGCCUGCACACGCUGUGGGCGCUGUGCUCCCUUGGAUACACACGUAGGCGGGGCCCCGGGGUGGGCUCCGCCCCCAGCUCCCGCUGACGCUGGGACUCAAAGUGGAAGGAAGAGAAGAGAGCAGGCUGGGGAGUCGGUGUGUGCUGCUCUACCUGCCCUGGGCCUGGAGACCCUCUCCCUUUGCUUUUCACGCUUGUUGUUCCUGAGUUUCACAGAGAUCCACCCUAUCCUAACAGCUGGCUCUGACUUUGCAGCCAAGAAGAGUGGUUUCUAUGGAGAAAGGAUGCCUAAUCCCACCCCACACUGAAGAGUCUAGUUUUCACUUCCAGUUGCCAAACCUGAGGCUUUGUAAACUUCAGCGUGUACUCAGUGAAGACUCACCUGAGAAAGUAUGUGAAAAGACAGAUUCUAAUUCCUAAGUGUGCACCUGCCUGCGCCGGGAUCUUGAUGUAAACUGUUCAUGGGCCACACUCUUGAGAAACAUGAAAAAUGAUGGAAUGAAUGCCAAAAUGUAAAAUGAAUAAUGAGUUUAAAAAUCAUUUUAUAAUCAAAAAAUAAACGACUUUUUCCUUAAAGUGUAAAAGAUUGGAAAGUACAAAAAUACUAGAGAUGAAAAUUAAAAUCACACAUAAUCCCAGAAAAAAAGCACCAUAUUAUAAUCUUGUUUUUGUGUCUUUUUUGUUUUGUACCCCUGGUACAAAAAUUUCUUUGACAAUACAUCUUGAACAAGCUGUAUCAUUUUCCACUGGGUAGCUCUGUGCCGCACUGUAUUUAACUGUUCCCACGUGGGUUAUGGGAGACUUUAGGUUGUUUUCACUAUUAUAAAUCACAGUAUGUAUUGGGAUGACCAUCCAUUUAUAUUAAUCUUUGUGUACAAUUUUGGUUAUUUCCUUGGGGAAUAACACAAAUGACCAUGGUACAGACUGAUUCUUGAUAACAUUGCCAGCUCAUUGUUUCCUGAUUUAAUACAUUAGUCAGAAUGUCCAAAACAUGAAAUUGCAUGAAAAUGAAGGAGGUCAAUUCCUCUACAGACAUGACAGUCUCUAAUUAGAAUCAUAGACUUUCCUUCCAAAUGUUUAAUGAAAUUUUGCAACCCAAGAGAUGCUUCCUCUCCAGGAAUACUUUCUUAUUCCUGUUGUUUUCCCUUCUCCUUUUCUCCAAGUUAAAAAAAAAAUCUUGAAUUUUGAUGAUCUGUUAUUCAUUAUUAGCCUAAUUUUAAUGAAGAGGCUGGAAGAAUAAGAGUAUGGUGAGAAAAAGAAAUAAUAUAUAUUUUUCGUAAUUGAAUGUUAUGUAAUAUACCAAGUUAAGUCCAAUUUUAUUGAGUACUGACUUGGCCAGGCACCGUGUUAGACCUUGUGGGUAUGAACUGAGUGAUGAUCUAAUUCAUGACCUAGAGAGUGACAUGGGUAUGAAAAUAACUACAAAAACCAGUGAUGCAUGCUCUAAUAAAGCAAUGCACAAGGUACAGAUAUAGUAAUUAUAGCUAAUUUUACUAUGUGCCAAGCACUGCUCUGAUUUCACAUCUAUGUUAAUUCAUUUUAGCAUCCUGUGUUAUGUUAUCCCAUGAGGUAGGUAUCACUCUUACCAUCAUCAUCCCCACUUUACAGAUGAGGUUACUAAGGCAAAGUAACUUGCCCAAAGUUCUAAGAGCCAAGAUUUGAACCUUGGUGUCCUGCUCCAGAGUUCACGCAUAUAACCACUAAAAAGUGUCUCUUUGUCAUACUAAGGAGGGAAGGAUUAUAACUCUGGAGGAUUAAGAAGGAUUUUUAAAAAUUAAUACUGUCAACUAAGGUUAAUUGAGCAACUACUACAUGGCAAGCAAUGUGCAAAG